GUCGGCGGACGAAGCCCGCGCAGCCCGGUCGCCGCUCCCGCCUUGGUGUGUGUGCAGUCCUUCUUGACACCGCCGCGUUCCGAGAGGGACGGACCCUCCUCCCCCCGGGGCCCCCUCCCGCCAGGAUGGCGCCGCCGGCCGCGCGCGGCGCCUGCUGACGCCCGCUGGACCGACGAGUGCGGCGACCGCUGCCCCCCGUUCCCCGAUGCGGGUGGAGCCGCCCGACCUGCAGUCCGGGCAGUGCAUGGCCUUCCAGCCGUUCCUGUUGCCCGGAGCCACGGCCAGCUCCAGCCCGCAGGCCCGGAGCCCUUCAGACUUCUCGAUGCACUCUAUCCUGAGCCAGCAGCCGCCGUACCUGCCGCUGGGGCUGCCGCACGCCGUGUUUCCGGGCGCGCCGCAGUUGUUUCCCAAGUUGGCCGUGCCGCCGCCGCUGCCCGGCCAGGGCCAGAUCACGCCCGAGGAACUGCUCGCCGCCAGGCACCUGAGGCCACCCGGGUUUGAGCCCGAGGACGAUGGUGUGCAGGACGACCCCAAAGUGAACCUUGAGGGGAAGGACCUGUGGGGGCGGUUCCACGAACUCGGCACCGAGAUGAUCAUCACCAAGUCCGGGAGGCGCAUGUUUCCUCCGUACAAAGUUCGAGUGACGGGUCUGGACAAGAAGGCCAAGUACAUCAUGCUGAUGGACAUCGUGGCGGCGGACGACUGCCGCUACAAGUUCCAGAACCGCCGCUGGGUGGUGGCGGGCAAGGCGGAUCCAGAGAUGCCCAAGCGCAUGUACAUCCACCCGGACUCGCCGUCGACCGGAGAGCAGUGGAUGCAGAAGGUGGUGUCCUUCCACAAGCUCAAGCUCACCAACAACAUAUCCGACAAGCACGGCUUUCAGACCAUCCUGAACUCGAUGCACAAGUACCAGCCCCGGUUCCACCUGGUGCGCGCCAACGACAUCCUCAAGCUGCCCUACAGUACCUUCAGGACGUACGUCUUCAAGGAGACUGAGUUCAUCGCCGUCACCGCCUACCAGAACGAGAAGAUCACGCAGCUCAAGAUCGACAACAACCCUUUCGCCAAGGGAUUCCGCGAAACCGGUGCUGCCAGAAAAGACAAAAAAAAGUACGCGCUCCCGCCAGCGUCCAAGUCCCUUCCUGGUGGCGCCAUGGCGCCGAGCGACGUGAGCUGCCCGACCAAAAUCGACGUGGACGACUCGUACUACAGCGACGACGACCGGCGGACGGAGCAGUCGCUGUCGGCUGACGAGGCGUCCGCGCCCCCGGGUGGCGACCUCUCCCCUCGACCGGGCCUCGACCUCGGUCGCUCUCCGGGCUCUCCGGAGCAGGCCAGCCUGAGCGACUACCUACCGUUUGGCGCCGGCCACACGUCCUUCCCGCUGCAGUACCUGUACAACCAGAGCCUCUACCAACAAAGCCUCAUGCUCCAGGACAUGAUCAUGUCCUCUGCGGCCGCCGCAGGCGCCACGUCACCAACGGGACGGCCGUCACCCUUCGGCUUCAACCCGUUCUCGGUGCGCAACCUCUUGAUGGCGAACGAGCAGAACUACCUGAAGGCGCCCAGUCCACUGAAGAUGGCGGACGCGGUGAGUCAGGAGCACCUCAAGAACCUCCGCUUCUUCCCGUACCCGCUGCCGGCGUGGCGGCUUCCCACUGGUCCCGGGGGGUCUUCGCCUCCCCCGCAUCCACCGACGGCGCAUCGCCCGGAUACGUCCUCGUCGCCCAAGUCGGACCCCGGACCGGCGGCGUCUCUUCUGCCGGGAGCCUUCUGCGGCGUCGGCGGCGUCGCGCAGUCGGAGAAGUUGUCCUCCAAGGACACCGACGAGGCACGAGGGUCUUCGUCGUCGCCGCUCGUGUCCCGGAGUCCGGUGCGCCCAGUGACAGUUCAGAACCACGUCGACGAGAACGCGCAUCGUGACGAAGACUGUGCCCCCGUGGAUGGGAAAGACUAGCAAAACCAUUCCACGAAAGAAAACGUUUCAGUGAGGCGUGCCUGUGUACGUGCGCAAUAUCCAGACGGGUUUCUAAAAAUAGAACCUUUCCGUCGUCUACGUCGGACACGUCGGACUGACUGACCUCAGCGUGCGUGUCCCGUCGAUACACGAUGCGCAUUCAGGAGACGCGUGGUCGCGGCUUCAGAGGUGAAUGAGCGCCGGGACGUUCACAAUCUUUGCUGCAGCAAUCAGUACCGUAGGCAGGCUUUCCCCUUUUGCAUUACCUGUUUUAUUUUUUUUUUCAUGCCUGGGUGGUCCGGGCUUUGACUCGGACGCCAUUGUUUUGCCGUUGCGUUGACCGAGUGAGUCCUCUUUAGAAGGUGCAUGCCCAAACCGCCUGGCGGUUGGGCUUUACAAUUCAGUCACGUGACUCGAAGAAACCAUUAGCAAACAAUGGAAUUCCAACGACCAUUCUUGAUUUUCUUCUGAGUGGCGUAGUCCGGUGUUUUGGAGAGGUUUCUUCACUAUGGAUGCAAAGAACCUGGUUCAGCGUCAGGACAGGGACAUAGCGAACGAACUGCUUGCCGAUUCAUACCGCGUCCCAGGAUUCGCGCGUGCUAAUGGCAGUGCUGUCGAGUCUUUAGCAACGUACGGUGAAAAUAUUUAUCGGAAGUCUAGGUACGGCCCAGUUUUAACUAGUUUUGCCCUGAAUGCGAGGAGGCUUAUGAAAUACUGAAUGGAGGAUGACUAGCUUGAAGCUGAAUUGGGCGUUCAUCAGGUUUGUGAUAGUUACUAUUAAAGAUCGAAUACAUAUUUUCGUGAGUCAGAGACCCUUCAAAACGCAAAAUGCGAAGAAUCAGUUUUACACGUUUUAUUGCAUGGUAAACUUUAAACCAGUUUGGCUUAAGAUUCGUAAUUACCAGCAAAGAAAGAUGAUUUUCAGUUUACUCGUGCAGAUGGUCGGCUUUUGCGUCAGAUAUUUGUCGAUUCGGUCACGACAGUAUCUCAAAGCACCGGCAUGUGGCAACAUGGGUGGAUCAUGAUGCCGAGUUAACGCGAAAUUGGAAGUCAACUUGUAAAACAAGGGAGUCUACGUGACACAUUCGAUGAAUUGGUUGGACUAGGUUACUGCGAUGGCAAGUAAUUAAUAUUCCCAAUAUCAAUCUUCAGAAGUCUCUAUAGUCCCAUUCAUUACAUUAUACUCCUCGCCUUCAAUCCGCGUCAAAGUCAACACGGUGUACAGGCACGUAGAGUACAGAUCGGCGCCAUGUAUCACGGGUAAAAUCAGCCGAAAACGCAUCUCUUUCCCAGGGGACCGUAGAAACCUCCGAAGUUGGACCACCCUAACAUCUAUCUUUUCCGUGGGAUUAUGCAAUACUCCUUAUCGCAUCAGCUGCCUGCAGAGGCGCGUAGCCCUGUGCGUAUCGUAUCUAGUCAUGCAGUAUGUACACAAAACUUGCUACGGAAGAAUCUCGCGUAUGUGUGUGACAGCUCCCCCGCCUCGUCUCGCUCCCAACUUGAGAGUUUUGCCACAAGUUCUUUCCGAGUGCACCGCGUGUAUCCACACCUACGCAGGAAUGAGCCCGGUGGAGUCUGCCACUCGUGGCGUAGGACAUUGCAUUUAAACACAAGGUCCUUCUUUGGCCCCAGGCAGAAAUUCCAGCACGCGUCAUUCGCGAGUGUACGCAUCACCGGCUUUUGGAGCCGUGUAUCCCCGAGAGUGCUAUUUAUUUUGCAGUGGUAUAGUUGUGUAUAAAUUUCUCGCGCUUCGGUUUCUUUCGAGACCUCGCAAGAGUCGAGAGUGGGUGUGCGCGCGUGCGUUUAUGAGAGUGUGUUUGUGUGCGUGUGUGUUUAUGUUGCAUUGAGUUAGUAGGACGGGCACGAGUUUUUCCUCUUAUGUGCGAUCGUGCAAAUUUGUGGCGUUCCUAAGUCCACUUUUUUUGUGUCACACUGAUAAAACGCAAAUUAAAUGGCAAAACCAAAGA
rnacentral:misc_RNA from 1 species